rnacentral:lncRNA from 1 species
AGGCUGCGGCGGCGCCGCUAAGGGCGGCGCAAACCCUAGGCGGUGGAAGAGCUGCAGAAACCCUAGCCGCAAAGCCUAAUUUUGACCGAGUCAGCGCGGGUCAACGGAUCUGGGUCUGGGCAUCUGAGCCGGAUUUGGGCUGUUGGAUGCGGGCCUAGGCGCUGGCAGCCUGUCUGGGCCGAGUUUUUGGGCCUGUGCGCGCCCUUCCAGCUCAAAAGGCUGUGUUUGGGUGGUUUGGGCUCUUUUUGGCGAGAUUUGGGGCCCAAUUUCGAGUUUUUAGACUUUUUAACCUAGUUUUAUUUAUUUAUUUUCUAUUUUUUUAAUUUAAUAGAUUAGAAAGGAAUUCCAGGAAUGGGCCAUGACGAAUUAUUUUUUAUUUAUUUUGUUUAUUCUUCGCAUGUCGUGGAUGUAUUAAUUAUGCAAGAGCAUGUAGUGGAUGUUUAAGUGCUUUGGAUAUCGUAGUUAUAACAAUCCUUUUUGUUGAUAAUUACUCCAUUUAUUAACUGCGCUUAGACGAACAUGGUAGGUGAUGUGUGUAUUUUAGUUACUUAGUUUAGUAUGUGUUUGCUAUGAUUUUAUAUGGUUUUACAUAAUUUGUGGUAUUUUGGAUGUAGGAAUUAAGCAAAAUUGGAGAUGGAACUUGUGGAUGGAAGAAGUGGACGUUGAUCGAAUUUUGCAUGGAAUUAAUCGAGCAUUGCAUGGAUAUUGAUGAAGUUUGGAUGACUCUUUCCAUCCGGAAGAAGAUUUGGUCUUGGAAUAUUUGCUUGGAUUUUAAUUAAACUUUAAACUUUUGAUUAAUUAUGUAAUUGGGCCUUUUUGUUCGAAUUUUGACAGCCCAAUUUGAAAUUGCGGCUAUUUGUGAAUUGUGGGAGUUAAUUCCCUUAGUUUAAUUCUAAUGACCUAGCUGCCACUUUUAAUAUAAGAUAGGAUUAGUUGACUUUUGGCAACAACUUUUGAUUCCUUAAUUUUUUGCGGUUCACGUUUUUAUUGCUAGUUUGAUUUGGUGUUAAUUUUUGUUUUAGCUUUUGGGGUUGAAGAUUGGCGGCAACUUUUUAUUCAAAGGCAGACAAUUUUUAAUUCAAUUCAAGUGGUG